GAGUCAUUCUUUUGUGGUCAAGCUCUCCUGCUCAGAAUAACUGCCUUCACUGUCAGUAAACUUCUGUCCACAUUUAAAGCCAAAUGAAAAUGGACCACCUAUUUCUCUAUUUCAUACACUGGUUGGAGUUUGCCAAUGAAAGGCGCUUGCCUGAGAUGCAAAGCAAAAGAGAAGAAACCGCCCGUCCAGGGAGGAGGUCAUAAGCAGAAGCAGGGCCAAGAUGACCGGAAGUCCUUGGUUUUUUGCUUCUGACUGCGAUGGAGAACCCAAAAGACAAUUUGCAGCCUUGAGUGUGGUUGAAGCUUGUUCAUGGUGGGACCCUCACGGUAGGUCCCUAAGCCUGUUUCACAGAUCUGUGCUGCGAAGGCCCAAAG